AUGAGGAGGAUCCAAAACCUUUUGUAACAAGGCUAAAUCAAAGUUCCAUAUGUUAGAAUUUCACUCAAUUUUCAGUAAAUUCACCUUAAAAAAUAGAUAUAAUCAUUAUCACCACUUUCAUUGUCCACUACCAACCACUAACCAACACAUUCUAAAAACUACAGAUGUAAGACAAUCAACAUUAUAAAAUAAAGUAUUGAUUCAAUUUAAACCAGCCCACAACUAGAGCAAAAGCCCAUCUAAAAUUCAACCCCAAAGGUUGAAAAUACCUGUGCAGCAGUUAACCAGACCUAACAGAGGUUCAAAGAGCAAACUCAACUCAAAGUGUAGUUCCAGCAUAUUUGGUCAGGUAACUAUGUAUGAAAUAAUUAGUGGCACGAUUCAUGUAACUUGAAUUCACCAUUCCUUCAAAACCAACAAAUUUAUUUGCAUUUAACAACAAAUUUAUUUGCAUUUAACACAUACAAGCAAGAUAAAACAACUUAGGUUAAAUUGGGAUUUUCUGCACCAGCUCAUUCAGACAUGCAAAGAAUGACUCACCUCGUGCUUUUCCAGAAUUGAGAAGAAAAUGCAAUAUACCAUUUCCCAAUUUUGGGGUCUAUGUUAGGUAAUUAACAGCGCAUGAUAUGGAAAGAGAAUUCCAGCCAUUUCAUUAUGCAGCAGCACAGAGCAUUAUGAUUUUUCAACAAACUUGAAAUCAUAGAAUCAUACCCCUGGGAUCAUUAAUGGCUUUAG
rnacentral:misc_RNA from 1 species